AAGCCCAUGUCUCCCCCAAAGAAUUCCCAAAACCAGCUUCAAUACCCACAUGACCGACCCAAACCGGAUCCCACAUGAAAGCACCUCUUCCAUGACCUAGCCCCAAUUCGUGACGCUGGAAUUCUCUCCCAAUUCACCUACGCCGCCAUGAAAUCUCACCAUCGCCUUCAAUGUUUUUCCCAAGACCGGAUUUCAAAUGAAACAAAAUACAACGGCGUAACGAUAAUACUCUCUCGAAGCUCACGAAAUCAGAAUAUCGAGAGGAGAAGAGACCUACCGGAUUCGAUGUGUCGUUGAUGUUCAUCGUUCUUCAAUCACAGUGUACUGAAGAUGAAUGACAAAGGUUCCGUUCGCGUGUAAGCUUCGUAUUCAUGAUGAAGAUGAACAUGUUGUUGAUGACGAAGAGUGGCUUCGAUUCGUGCCAUGUAUUUGUUGAGAUAAUCUACUUCGAAACUCCCUUGGUCAAUUGGAAAUUCAUAAUCUCAUGGCUGCAACAGGUUGUUGAAAUGAGCAUUGUCCAUGGACCAAAUUACAUUCCUUUUUCUGUUUAAGUUAAGGAGCAACCUUCAUAUGCAAUUCAAGAGGUUGUGAAGUUGAAUAUUAUCCUUGUGAAUGUAAUUUUUGUUGUAAUUUUGGAAUGUAAAUGGUUUUGGAUUGCCCAUGGAAUUUUGAUUGGAUUUGGACAUGACUAUUUUUGUAAUGUAAAGUUUAUGUUGAAUUUGAAAUGAUGUGUGGUUAUGUAUGGAAUGGAUGUUUAUAAUGGUUGUAAUUUUGUUGUAAAAAUGAAUAUGAGGUUGAAUGGAAUGUGGAUGCAUAGGUAGUUAGAGGUAGAAGUAUUAGAAUUUUUAAGAAGUACCAAGUUAGGAUGUAAGGCAAAAUGUCAGUAGUAAUUAACUUGAAUUUAAAUGUUUUUUGCCUUUGGUUUUAAACCACUUUUGCCUUGAAUUUUUGGUGAAUUGUCCCAUGACUUUAAGUGCCUUUGAGAAGUGAUUUUGUAUUUCAAAAAAGCAUUAUUGAAUGGUGGAAAUGUAGGGAUCAAAUUCUGAUUUUUGGGCA